UUUGUUUUUUUUUUUUUUACCUAUGAUUUUUGUUUCAUUUUUUUUUAUUUCAGAAAUACAACUAGUAAAUUCUGCACAAGAAAAAUAGCGAUAAAAUUAUUUAUUUCUCUUAAAUAUAAUUUUAAGUCGCUGUACUUGCGGGGAAGUGCGUCAAGUAAUGAGAAAUCUCGCGCAAGCGAUUAGCGACUUAGAUGACCUGCCAUGUCCGUGAGUAAUUGAUAAUAGAAAAAAAAAAUAACACGAUUUAAUAAAAAAAAGUUAGCUACAAGUGAGUCAAUUUUUUUUAAACACACAUUACAAUGAGAACUUCAGCCAGACAACUGUAAAGUAAAAAAGUAAAUUUAGGGAUAACUUGAAAUAUGAAGCAACUUUGUGUGAAAAUAUCUUUUGUAAUAGAAUGUAGAACGAAGUUGUAAAUUAGUCUUUUCAUUUUUUUUUUUUUUUGGUUUAAGUAUGGAGCAGUGUGCCACUCCAAUUCUUUCUUCGUAAGUGUCGUUUGUGUUGUUUUUAGAAAUAAAACGUACUCUCCAGUGUAUAUGAUUUUAAUCUCCGUUCUGUUUACUUAAACCAAAUUUUUCUUUAUAAUUUACACUUAAAAACAAUAAAAUUGAUCAUCAUUUUCCCCCAUAUGUAAAGUACUCCAGUAGCAUCCAGAAAGAGGACGUACAGCUCCUCACCGGGAUGUUCGUCAGGGUUAGUAUUUUUCCCCAAAAAUUAAAAGUUUCAAUUGUUUUAUUGUUCAGAAAUAAUAAAUUCUACACUCAACUUUCACUCAAAAUUAAUAGCAUUUCAUAUUCUGUCCGUACAUAUAUAGCACGCCGAUGUCAAAGAAGAGGAGGGGAAACCUGUUAGUACAUUUUAUAUUUAAUGAAACACAAUUUCUUGUAAAUGAUCUUAGAAAUAUACGUAUAUAUUUUUUUUCAUAUAUUCUUAACUUUAGUCCAUCCACUCCGUCGGUGCCGAUUGGGUCAGUAAAUUACUUUUGAUUUUAUCCUUUUAAAUAUUAAAUUUGUAAUUUAUACAUUGUAGUAUGCAGUAAAUAUAAUGUGACCCUAAAUUCUCAUGUUCAUUUAGAUUACCCCCCAAUGCGCUGAUUCGUCCAACGUUAGUAUGAUUCUUUUUAAUUAAAUUAAAAUAUUUUUGUCACUGAGUUAUGUUUUUUUUUAAAUGUUUGAAUGGUUAUAUAUGUAAAAAAUUUUUUUUUGCUCGAAUGAAUACAAAUAAUCACACAAUUUUUCUUUAUUUAACAGGAAAAGGAUCGAAAUCGUCACAAUUAGCGACGAGUAAGUUACGUAACAAAUUUACACGUUUCAUUUGGUUUAAUUUUAAAUAUAUAUAGAUUUUUUUAGUUCCAAAUUUUACCUCCUUUUUCCCGUAGUUCAACCACGGAGAGUUACUGCCUUCUGGACAGUAGUCUCGAGAGACAACUGCUAUCGCUUGAGGGAAACGCAAGUAUGGCCUCGGCCAGCACCUCCACCGCGGCGAUGGAGCCCGAGGAGCCCGAGAAAUGAUUGGAAAAAUUAACAGAGGUCCCCUUCCCCCCAGACAGGAGGAGAAAAUGGACAUGUUUUAAAAUUAAUAAAUAUUUUUUAAAAGUGUUUGCAUUGUUAGUUGUGUAUAUUGCAAUUGAAUUACUUGAAAGAAAGAAAACCUGGUAUCUAUAGUUCCAGAAAUCUGGAGACUGAGCAAUGGAUUGAUUGAUUUAAAAAAAAAAUUCUGCUUUGGGGUGAUGACUCAU